CGCGUGGGCAGCGCGCGCCGCCGGAGUUCGAUAUUAAUCGCCGUCACUCGUCGUAUUUCCUCAAACGUCCGUUUCGAUUCGAUACGGUGCGGUGUUAACGUCGGCUUGGCUCGGCCGAACUGCAGUUCGAUCUGAAUGAGUGUGCUGCGUCCGUCUCCUGUUGCUCCGCCGUUGCACGGCGGUUGACAUUGGCGUCCGGCGAUUGGCAGUCUCGACGAGACGAAAAGGAAAAAGGACCGAAGGAGUGGUUGGUGAGAUUUUCAGUGUGUUUACAUAUAUCGAAAGUAUUGAAAUAAAUUAUCGUAAAUUGUGUGUUGCGCGCGAAGACGGACUCGAACCGUACGACGUGAAGGUGGCAGCGGGAAGCUUUCGCGUCGCAGCCCCGGGCGCGCAGCCGGAUUCCUGUGCUACACGAACCCCCGCGGACGUAGGCGAUUCGUGCUAGCCUCGUCCAUUUUGACUUUCGUCCCUUCGUUAGGUCAAACUAUCGCGCCAAAACGCCACAUCGAAUAGCACAUAUUCAUAUGGUGCAGACAGGGAUGGCUGCGCCCUAUGGUGGGGGUGUCUUCCCUCCUCCGGUAAACGGGGUCGCGGGUGUCGUGGGGGCGGC